AGUGCUUUUAGUUCUUUUGACUAAGAUCAAGUUUAGUAUCUGUUCUUAUGAGUUUAAUAGCUAAUAUGUCCUCUAUCUCCGGAGAACUUAUUAAAUUAAUUUUUGGAGCCGGGGGUUAAAAUUGAGGCUUGCUCCAUCAACUCCACACAUCAACCUAAUAUUGCAGUAUCUCCAGGAAUGGUGCCAAAAAA
ensembl:snRNA U2 U2 spliceosomal RNA